rnacentral:misc_RNA from 1 species
GAUGAAGAACGUAGUGAAAUGCGAUAAUUAAUGUGAAUUGCAGAAUUCAGUGAAUCAUCGAGUCUUUGAACGCACAUUGCGCCCCCUGGUAUUCCGGGGGGCAUGCCUGUCCGAGCGUCAUUGCUGCCCUCAAGCACGGCUUGUGUGUUGGGCUUCCGUCCCUGGCAACGGGGACGGGCCCAAAAGGCAGUGGCGGCACCAUGUCUGGUCCUCGAGCGUAUGUGGCUUUGUCACCCGCUCCCGUAGGUCCAGCUGGCAGCUAGCCUCGCAACCAAUCUUUUUAACCAGGUUGACCUCGGAUCAGGUAGGGAUACCCGCUGAACUUAAGCAUAUCAAUAAGCGGAGGA